rnacentral:tRNA from 1 species
UUCUUGACAGUCCAAUGAUCAAGACUCUGUACUUCCACUGCCAUGGCCCAGGUUUGAUUCCUGGUCAAGGAG